GUGUUUAGGCGUGUGUAUGUAGGUGUGUGUAUAUGUGUUUAGACGUGUGUGGGUGUGUGUUUAGGUGUAGGUGCAUGCAUAUAGAACUAAAUUGUGGAAUUGGGAGGAAUUGGAAUUGAAUUGUAAUUAAAUUCCAAAUCCAUAACAUUUUGCAGUACCGAACAUUGGAUUUGGAAUUGGAGACCAAUUCCGGAUGCCCAAUUCCAUGAUACCGAACGGAGCCGUAGUGUUUUCUAAUUGUAAAAUAUAUGAGGAGGUUAUUGCUGAAUUUUUUUAAAGUUGUGUUUGUUGUGUCGAUAUUAGCACAAGAACCUCUUCCUCUCUCCGGGCAAGUUCCCACUCAGGACAAAAGAAGGUAUUAUGGUCAUAAAUUCCUACCUGAAUUGGAUCACUGGAUGUGGUAGUUAUUCGACUCUCUUUACGACUUCUAAAUUUGUAGGAACUGGAAUUGUUUGAAACCUUACAUGGCUUCUUCAUUCAGGUAACUAACUAUGCAUUCCUACUCACCCUUUGACAUCUGCAUGUCAGCAUACUUAUCAUAUCCUAUUGCAGAAAGUUGUUAUACCUGUCUUAUUCUGUUCCAAAAAUGUUUCAUAGAAGGCUAAUUAUUCAUUGCUUGGCAAGAUCAAUUGUGUGAUGGAGUGAAGUUGUAAUCUUGUUUGUGGUUCUCUUGCAUAUGGUUCAUCCAGGAAACACAAUGAGCUCAAGAGGUUGGUAAAUAUGAAAGCAUACUGGAAGUCGAGUCUCAUAUUUCUGCUUUUGACUUCAUGGCCUUGUGAUAGAAAUUGGGAUGCUGUUAUCUAUAGAAGAAGAUACAUGCUUUCAUUUACAGGUAGCAAGUGCUCACAGCACUACAUCAUAAAUACUCAGUGAGAUCAUAUUAUUAUACAGAAAUAUGGCAUUAUGUGAAGCUUUUGCUCAAAUUUCCAUUUAUGUUUAAUUUUGUUCGGGUAUGGAUACUAUAUAGUAAUUGAUAUCAAUUUGGUACUUGUCCAUGCUUGGGAGAAAUAGCUCACUUAGUAAUGUGUUGUCAGCUGAGACUUCUCCCUGUUUUUUAUUAGGUGCAAGAAAGGAUUGAUUAUAUUGCAAGGUUGUAUGGUGCAGUUCUUGCAUAAAAUCUACCUUGUUUAGGUAGAUGGAAGGGCGCGGAACAAGAAGCAGUUGAAAACAGCGAACUCAUUUUCAUAUCUACUGGAAUUGUAGAUUUAUAACCACAUUUAUGUGAAUUACAGAAUUUAGUCUGCCAUUGAGGUCUGUGUGUUCAAAUCAUUCGAGUGUUUAUUGGAUCAGGUCCUUUUCAUUUCUCGAUUUGGUUUAUCUAAUUCUGUCAAUUUGUAUUGGUUAA